GAAAUGGGCCGGCCUAUCGCCUCGCUUUAGGCGGGGAGGAAAGUCCAGACAACAGAGAGCGCCACGCUUCCCCAAAGGAAGGCUCCGCGCUACAACGCGGAGACAGAGAGUGCCGCAGAAACAAUACGGCCUCGCAUGGCGGGGUAAAGGUGAAACGGUGAGGUAAGAGCUCACCGCCACAGCGGUGACGCUGUGUGGCUUGGUAAACCUCGUGGGUUGCAAUGCCAAGUACGCCAGAGCUUGAGGGUGGCUCGCCCGAUUCUGGUGGGUAGGCAGCAAUAGAUAAAUGAUAGGCCUCCCUGUGUGUGGGGAGACAGAAUCUGGCUUAUAGGCUCAUUUCCUUU
rnacentral:RNase_P_RNA from 1 species